UUAGUCUUGAAAACUGCCCUCUGCUGUAGGUAUUAUUACCUGCCUUUUUCAGAUACAGACUCAAGCCAGAGGGCUCCAGGUGCUCCCGUAUCAUUUGUCUGCCAGGAUGAGAUUAUCAUGGUUCAAUAACAAUUUUUAUUCUCUCCAUGACUUGCCAACUCUGGACCAUGGUUACAGAAUGAGGAACAAAAGAUUUGGUUAUCAUUGGAGGCAUUUGUCUGCUUGAAGGCCACCCAGAGCUGUCCCUAAGAGCCUGAAUGUCAAAACCAAUUGAAAAUGAAAAGGGGAAAAAAUACAGGAAAAUUCUAUAGUAGUGAAGGCAUCUGAAAAAGAACUUCUUCUACAUGUGAAAAUUAUCAUGUUGUAGAGAAUAUUCUGUUUAUGCAGCAUAAAUGGCCGUGUAUUCUUUACAUGCACUUUUAAACAGGUUCACCCCAAGCAAGUAAGGCGACUAUCAUCGCUUUAUAUCAGCUGCAGCAUUACUUCUUGAUGAGAUACAACUUACACUAAACCCACACCUGUUGUUUUAUUUAACUGUAUUUUUGCUAUUGAGUAUUUUCUUCUUUGGUGUAAAGUUCCUGGCGUCUCUGAGAAUUACACCUCACCAAGAAGUCCAUUAUGAUAUUCUCAUGCACAUGAAACACCUCCGUCUCUACCAACC
rnacentral:lncRNA from 1 species